rnacentral:rRNA from 1 species
UACGUAGGAGACGAGCGUUGUCCGGAAUCACUGGGCGUAAAGCGCGUGUAGGCGGAUCGGCAAGUCUGCUGUGAAAGCUCCUGGCUUAACCGGGAGUGGUCGGUGGAAACUGCCAGUCUGGAGGACGGUAGAGGUAGGUAGAAUUCCCGGUGUAGUGGUGAAAUGCGUAGAGAUCGGGAGAAUACCUGUGGCGAAGGCGGCCUACUGGGCCGGACCUGACGCUGAGACGCGAAGGCGUGGGGAGCGAACGGG